rnacentral:rRNA from 1 species
GCCAGUCUGCACGGAGCCAUCCUUGAAAUACCACCCUUUAACGUUUGAUGUUCUAACCCGGGUCCAUAAUCUGGAUCGGGGACCGUGUCUGGUGGGUAGUUUGACUGGGGCGGUCUCCUCCCAAAGAGUAACGGAGGAGCACGAAGGUUGGCUAAGCAUGGUCGGACAUCAUGCGGUUAGUGCAAAGGCAUAAGCCAGCUUGACUGCGAGAGUGACGGCUCGAGCAGGUACGAAAGUAGGUCUUAGUGAUCCGGUGGUUCUGAAUGGAAGGGCCAUCGCUCAACGGAUAAAAGGUACUCCGGGGAUAACAGGCUGAUACCGCCCAAGAGUUCAUAUCGACGGCGGUGUUUGGCACCUCGAUGUCGGCUCAUCACAUCCUGGGGCUGAAGUAGGUCCCAAGGGUAUGGCUGUUCGCCAUUUAAAGUGGUACGCGAGCUGGGUUUAGAACGUCGUGAGACAGUUCGGUCCCUAUCUGCCGUGGGCGCUGGAAGAUUGAGAGGGGUUGCUCCUAGUACGAGAGGACCGGAGUGAACGCACCACUGGUGUACGGGUUGUGAUGCCAAUUGCAUUGCCCGGUAGCUAAGUGCGGAAGAGAUAACCGCUGAAAGCAUCUAAGCGGGAAACUUGCCUCGAGAUGAGUCUUCCCUGACCCUUUAAGGGUCCUGAAGGAACGUUUGAGACUAAGACGUUGAUAGGCUGGGUGUGUAAGCGCAGCGAUGCGUUGAGCUGACCAGUACUAAUGAACCGGGAGGCUUAACCUGACAACACCGAAGGUGUUU